rnacentral:rRNA from 1 species
UACGAAGGGAGCUAGGGUUGUUCGGAAUUACUGGGCGUAAAGGGCGCGUAGGCGGUUUAGUAAGUCAGAUGUGAAAGCCCCGGGCUUAACCUGGGAACAGCAUUUGAUACUGCUAGACUAGAGAUCGAAAGAGGAGAGUGGAAUUGCGAGUGUAGAGGUGAAAUUCGUAGAUAUUCGCAGGAACACCAGUGGCGAAGGCGACUCUCUGGUUCGAUACUGACGCUAAGGCGCGAAAGCGUGGGGAGCAAACAGG